rnacentral:tRNA from 1 species
UGCGGUGUAGUUUAACGGUAGAACCAAGGUCUCAUAAGCCUCGUGCGAAGGUUCGACUCCUUCCGCCGCUCCCA